rnacentral:rRNA from 1 species
CACGUAGGAGGCAAACGUUAUCCGGAUUUACUGGGCGUAAAGCGCGUGUAGGUGGUUCUGUAAGUAGGGCGUGAAAGCUCCUGGCUCAACUGGGAGAGGCCGUUCUAAACUGCAGAGCUAGAGGAUGGUAGAGGGAGGUGGAAUUCCAGGUGUAGCGGUGGAAUGCGCAGAUAUCUGGAGGAACACCAGUGGCGAAGGCGGCCUCCUGGACCAUUCCUGACACUCAGACGCGAAAGCUAGGGUAGCAAACGUGAUUAGAUACCCU